rnacentral:lncRNA from 1 species
AUGAUUCAUAUCAUUUUAUGUCGAGUGUUGCCUUCGGUCAGUUCAAGCAUUUUUGCUGUUCGUAAACGGGAACGACGCCUGAAGGCUUGCUUUGAGAUGACAUCCUUGGAUUAGAUGGGAAAACUAUUUACAGAUGUGAUGAUCCUGGCAGUCAAAUAUACUUUUAUUUCCAAGAAUGCUAGUCGAAAAAUACACAGAACAAGAUGUUAAUGGUGGUUUCCAGUAAAACGUAAUAAAUUGACAUUGAGAGGGUAAAUCAGCAAGGGGAAGAAGUAGAAUCCCAUUCAUGCUUCUUUGGAUUGGUUUUGGAAAUGGACCGUUAGUAGAAAGGGUUAUGAUUUUAACACAUGAAACGAACAAGGUGAAAAAAUAAAAACGAUUGGAAACCUGGAGGAGUGGAGCCCCUUGGGACCUGAAAGGUGCAGUUUUUAGAAAUACGUGCAGUCCAAUUGACACCGAUGCAUAUAAAAUUACACAUGUGAUGUCUUCUACUGUGUGGUUCAUUUCACCAUCAGUGGCAUUAUUUUCCUUUCACAAGCGUCUAUUGUUGAACAACGCUUAGGAAUAAAACUAGAGCACCAUAGAGUAUAUUUGAGAUCGUCCAACAGAUGAGAGGAAAUUGAAGUUCAGAUUGAUCCUAUUGAAGCAAAACUAAUAACUGGUGUUGUCUUUCUUGGACUCUAUUCUGGAUUUGCUGUUUUCAUCUUCACCUUGCAACAUUAUGCAGUUAAUUUUCAACAGAUAAGUGAGAACAAGAGGAGAUUUACUGGAAUUCCACUAAAGGAGCAAGUUUUCUUCUUUGGCAUUUCUACUGGAUUUGGUUUGCUUUUCACACCUGCAAACUUUGGAUUGUUACAGUCUAUUAUUAAUUAAGAUCGACGUUGGAGAAGACAAAGAUGACCCCAUAGUUAAAAUAGUUCUCUAUCUUGCAUGCUCUAUGUAGUAGAAUUCAUCAAGUUCGUUUUAUUCAAAUUAGUUUUUUAUUUUGCAUGUU